rnacentral:rRNA from 1 species
UACGUAGGGUGCGAGCGUUAAUCGGAAUUACUGGGCGUAAAGCGUGCGCAGGCGGCUUUGCAAGACAGAUGUGAAAUCCCCGGGCUCAACCUGGGAACUGCAUUUGUGACUGUAUAGCUAGAGUACGGCAGAGGGGGAUGGAAUUCCGCGUGUAGCAGUGAAAUGCGUAGAUAUGCGGAGGAACACCAAUGGCGAAGGCAAUCCCCUGGGCAUGUACUGACGCUCAUGCACGAAAGCGUGGGGAGCAAACAGG